rnacentral:misc_RNA from 1 species
GAACGCAUCUUGCGCUCCUUGGUAUUCCGAAGAGCAUGCUUGUUUGAGUAUCAGUAAACACCUCAAAGCUUUUGAUUUUUUUUAAAAAAAAAAAAAGUUUUGGACUUGAGCAAUCCCAACACCAAUCUUUUUUAGAUCGGCGGCGGGUUGCUUGAAAUGCAGGUGCAGCUGGACAUUCUCCUGAGCUAAAAGCAUAUUUAUUUAGUCCCGUCAAACGGAUUAUUACUUUUGCUGCAGCUAAUAUAAAGGGAGUUUGACCGUAUUGGCUGACUGAUGCAGGAUUUCACAAGGGUCGGCAACGAUUCUUGUAAAACUCGAUCUCAAAUCAAGUAAGACUACCCGCUGAACUUAAG